rnacentral:rRNA from 1 species
UACGUAGGGGGCAAGCGUUGUCCGGAAUCAUUGGGCGUAAAGCGCGCGUAGGCGGCCCGGUAAGUCCGUUGUGAAAGUCAAAGGCUCAACCUUUGAACGCCGAUGGAUACUGCCGGGCUAGAGUCCGGAAGAGGCGAGUGGAAUUCCUGGUGUAGCGGUGGAAUGCGCAGAUAUCAGGAGGAAUACCAAUAGCGAAGGCAGCUCGCUGGGACGGUACUGACGCUGAGGCGCGAAAGCGUGGGGAGCGAACAGG